UGGCUCAGUUGGUAGAGCAUGGUGUUUGCAACGCCAGGGUUGUGGGUUUGAUUCCCAA
rfam:Salmo salar isolate Sally breed double haploid chromosome ssa09, whole genome shotgun sequence.